UACGUAGGGUGCAAGCGUUAAUCGGAAUUACUGGGCGUAAAGCGUGCGCAGGCGGUGAUGUAAGACAGUUGUGAAAUCCCCGGGCUCAACCUGGGAACUGCAUCUGUGACUGCAUUGCUGGAGUGCGGCAGAGGGGGAUAGAAUUCCGCGUGUAGCAGUGAAAUGCGUAGAUAUGCGGAGGAACACCGAUGGCGAAGGCAAUCCCCUGGGCCUGCACUGACGCUCAUGCACGAAAGCGUGGGGAGCAAACAGG
rnacentral:rRNA from 1 species